rnacentral:pre_miRNA from 1 species
CACGUACUCUCUCCGUUUCGAAUUACUUGUCACAGUUAUAGAUGUAUCUAAAUAUAUUUUAGUUCUUGAUACAUUCAUUUCUGUGACGAGUAAUUUGAAACGGAGGAAAUACAUU